rnacentral:tRNA from 1 species
CGGGGUUGGGUUAUCCGUCAUCCUAUAUCGACGACCUCAGCUUGUUCAUAAACUCCCACACGAAUUGCUUGAUUCACUGGUUAGACCAUUGGGUCUGUAGCUCAGUUGGUUAGAGCGCACCCCUGAUAAGGGUGAGGUCGGCAGUUCGAAUCUGCCCAGACCCACCAAUUGUUGGUGUGCUGCGUGAUCCGAUACGGGGCCAUAGCUCAGCUGGGAGAGCGCCUGCUUUGCACGCAGGAGGUCAGGAGUUCGAUCCUCCUUGGCUCCACCAUCUAAAACAAUCGUCGAAAGCUCAGAAAUGAAUGUUCGUGAAUGAACAUUGAUUUCUGGUCUUUGCACCAGAACUGUUCAUUAAAAAUUCGGGUAUGUGAUAGAAGUAAGACUGAAUGAUCUCUUUCACUGGUGAUCAUUCAAGUCAAGGUAAAAUUUGCGAGUUCAAGCGCGAAUUUUCGGCGAAUGUCGUCUUCACAGUAUAACCAGAUUGCUUGGGGUUUAUUAUGGGUCAGUAA